GCGGCAGGCCUAACACAUGCAAGUCGAACGGUAACAGAAAGAAGCUUGCUUCUUUGCUGACGAGUGGCGGACGGGUGAGUAAUGUCUGGGAAACUGCCUGAUGGAGGGGGAUAACUACUGGAAACGGUAGCUAAUACCGCAUAACGUCGCAAGACCAAAGAGGGGGACCUUCGGGCCUCUUGCCAUCGGAUGUGCCCAGAUGGGAUUAGCUUGUUGGUGGGGUAACGGCUCACCAAGGCGACGAUCCCUAGCUGGUCUGAGAGGAUGACCAGCCACACUGGAACUGAGACACGGUCCAGACUCCUACGGGAGGCAGCAGUGGGGAAUAUUGCACAAUGGGCGCAAGCCUGAUGCAGCCAUGCCGCGUGUAUGAAGAAGGCCUUCGGGUUGUAAAGUACUUUCAGCGGGGAGGAAGGGAGUAAAGUUAAUACCUUUGCUCAUUGACGUUACCCGCAGAAGAAGCACCGGCUAACUCCGUGCCAGCAGCCGCGGUAAUACGGAGGGUGCAAGCGUUAAUCGGAAUUACUGGGCGUAAAGCGCACGCAGGCGGUUUGUUAAGUCAGAUGUGAAAUCCCCGGGCUCAACCUGGGAACUGCAUCUGAUACUGGCAAGCUUGAGUCUCGUAGAGGGGGGUAGAAUUCCAGGUGUAGCGGUGAAAUGCGUAGAGAUCUGGAGGAAUACCGGUGGCGAAGGCGGCCCCCUGGACGAAGACUGACGCUCAGGUGCGAAAGCGUGGGGAGCAAACAGGAUUAGAUACCCUGGUAGUCCACGCCGUAAACGAUGUCGACUUGGAGGUUGUGCCCUUGAGGCGUGGCUUCCGGAGCUAACGCGUUAAGUCGACCGCCUGGGGAGUACGGCCGCAAGGUUAAAACUCAAAUGAAUUGACGGGGGCCCGCACAAGCGGUGGAGCAUGUGGUUUAAUUCGAUGCAACGCGAAGAACCUUACCUGGUCUUGACAUCCACAGAACUUUCCAGAGAUGGAUUGGUGCCUUCGGGAACUGUGAGACAGGUGCUGCAUGGCUGUCGUCAGCUCGUGUUGUGAAAUGUUGGGUUAAGUCCCGCAACGAGCGCAACCCUUAUCCUUUGUUGCCAGCGGUCCGGCCGGGAACUCAAAGGAGACUGCCAGUGAUAAACUGGAGGAAGGUGGGGAUGACGCCAAGUCAUCAUGGCCCUUACGACCAGGGCUACACACGUGCUACAAUGGCGCAUACAAAGAGAAGCGACCUCGCGAGAGCAAGCGGACCUCAUAAAGUGCGUCGUAGUCCGGAUUGGAGUCUGCAACUCGACUCCAUGAAGUCGGAAUCGCUAGUAAUCGUGGAUCAGAAUGCCACGGUGAAUACGUUCCCGGGCCUUGUACACACCGCCCGUCACACCAUGGGAGUGGGUUGCAAAAGAAGUAGGUAGCUUAACCUUCGGGAGGGCGCUUACCACUUUGUGAUUCAUGACUGGGGUGAAGUCG
rnacentral:rRNA from 1 species